rnacentral:miRNA from 1 species
UAAUGAUGAUGAUGAUGAUGAUGAUGAUGAUUGAUGAUGGUGGUGGUGGUGGUGGUGGUGAUAUUAUUAUUCCUCAUCGUCGUCGUCACCAUCCUGU